UACGUAGGUGGCAAGCGUUGUCCGGAAUUAUUGGGCGUAAAGCGUGCGCAGGCGGCGCGUUAAGACAGGUGUGAAAGCCCCGAGCUUAACUUGGGAAUUGCGCUUGUGACUGGCGUGCUGGAGUGUGGCAGAGGGAGGUGGAAUUCCACGUGUAGCAGUGAAAUGCGUAGAGAUGUGGAGGAACACCGAUGGCGAAGGCAGCCUCCUGGGCCAACACUGACGCUCAUGCACGAAAGCGUGGGGAGCAAACAGG
rnacentral:rRNA from 1 species